rnacentral:rRNA from 1 species
GACGAACGCUGGCGGCGUGCUUAACACAUGCAAGUCGAACGGUAAGGCCCCAGCUUGCUGGGGUACACGAGUGGCGAACGGGUGAGUAACACGUGGGUGACCUGCCCCGCACUUCGGGAUAAGCCUGGGAAACUGGGCCUAAUACCGGAUACGACCGCACCGUCAGGGUGUGGUGGAAAGUUUUUCGGUGUGGGAUGGGCCCGUGGCCUAUCAGCUUGUUGGUGGGGUAAUGGCCUACCAAGGCGGCGACGGGUAGCCGGCCUGAGAGGGUGGACGGCCACAUUGGGACUGAGACACGGCCCAGACUCCUACGGGAGGCAGCAGUGGGGAAUAUUGCACAAUGGGCGGAAGCCUGAUGCAGCGACGCCGCGUGGGGGAUGACGGCCUUCGGGUUGUAAACUCCUUUCGCCAUCGACGAAGGUUUUCUGACGGUAGAUGGAGAAGAAGCACCGGCUAACUACGUG